UCCAACCCGGAUUCCCUGUGUGCAAGAGUAUUGAAAGCAAAAUACUUCCCUAAUGAAAGUUUAUUACAAGCUACCCUGAAGAGUGGUGCUUCGUUUACGUGGCAGAGCAUUAUGAAAGGUAUUGAAACAUUUAAGUUGGGGUAUAUCUGGAGGGUUGGUACCGGUGAGAACAUUAACAUCUGGAGCGACCCCUGGAUACCGUCUAGUCCGGAUAGGAGAGUUUUAUCAAAUCGGGGGCAAACACUGAUAUCACGAGUUCAUGAUCUAAUUGACCCUAUGACUGGUUUUUGGGACGAGGAUCUGAUCAGAUCUAUAUUCAUAUCGGUUGAUGUAGACAGGAUCUUGCAAAUUCCCCUCAACUAUGGGGCUUUCGAGGACUUUAUCGCAUGGCACCCGGAUCAUAAAGGGUUUUUCUCUGUGAAAUCAGCAUACAAAGUACAAUGGAUACGAUCUUUCCAGGUACAUGCAACGGUGAUGGCGCGACCUGGAGGCUCAAGAACUCUAGCAGUGUGGAGUACACUAUGGAAACAAAAGGUCCCAUGUAAAAUUCAAAUUUUUUGUUGGCGUGCUCUACAUGGUAUUAUUCCGCUAAAGUCCAUACUCACGAACCGUCAUAUUGGAACUAAUGGGGCAUGUCCUAUAUGUUAUCAAGAUGCGGAAGAUGUCCGCCGCCUACUGUUUGAUUGUUGCAAUGCCAAGCACCUCUGGGAACGCCUAGGAAUAGCGGGAAUGAUU
rnacentral:rRNA from 1 species